GACCCUCUUCGCCUUCGUAAAGACGAUUCUUGAUAUUCAAACAGUGUGUUACUCCCAGUGUGUGUGAACCUGCAAAACAUCAUAUUAUGCGUAUCAACUGUUUGUGAAAAUGUCAAUAUAAUUAAUGGGUCAAAAAAGAAGUUUCUUCAACUCCAAUGGUGGAAGGAGGAAGAAGAGCAUUGGCGAGUUCGUAGCUUGGAGUGCUCGAGGAGUCUCUGCAUCCCAAGGGAACCUCUAUACGAGGCCCUCCAGAAGUAGCUACUGCCUCACGUGCUGCCAUGAUGAGAAUGUCAGCACAAGAAACUUGGUUAGGACAUGCUACUUCAACCAUGGACUUCAGAAGGCUUAUCGUUUCCCUCUGUCGGAUUGCAAAGUUUUUAGUUGAAGCCAUCUCUGAUGAAUCAUUUUUUUGGCUGUCUUGAUCAACCAGAAUAGAAGCAUCACAGCCCUGCAAUUGGUUUAUCAUUAUGACAACAAUGUUAGUAAGAUAAUUAAUCUUGUUUAGCUCAUUUAAUGGCAGAUGGAUAUGAGAUGGGAAGAGAAAGAGAUAAAGACCUGAACUUGGCAAUCAUGGAACAUGAGCCUCAACAAAGCAGCAGGUGAAGUAAUAUCAGAAGAGAAAACAGUUUACAAAACCCAAGUUUGGUAGCAGCAGCAGCAGUAGUAAUAUUACUUGAAACAAGAAAAUUAGAGCUGCACAGCUUAAGUUGACAAAGGACGAUUAAGGUUGAUCUCAAUGGCAAUGGUGAAUUCAAAUCUGUUCAAGCUGCUAUAGACUCUGUUCCUGAAGGCAAUUCUCAAUGGAUUAUCAUCCACCUUAGAAAAGGGGUCUUCAGAGAAAAGGUGCACAUACCAC